CAUUACCCCAACCUCUGAUGGAGAAACAGGUUCAAAGUGAUUGAGUCGCAUCCCCAAGGUCGCACACGGAUAAGCAACCUAAACCCAAGUCCUCAUGCUCUCUUCCCCUGGGAGGGGUCGGACAUGGAGGCCCGCAGGCGUUUUCUCCACCUUCCACAGCCUUGAUUGUGCGGAGGCAGCAGCGCCACCCACAGGCAGCUCUGGCUUGAAUCCCAGCUUCCCCACUUCACCUGGGGGACCUUUGGUGGGUCACUGAACCCUUUGGGCUCUUCAUCUGUAAAGCGAACUAAGAACACAGCCUGGGCUGACGGGGAGGAUUACUGAGAAGGAGAAAUGCCAUUUCCUGGGCCUUUUGCAAAAUGUGUAACGGACAUCCGCUAGCAGAAAGUCUGAAACUAGAUUUCACCACUUGGGAGGUGGGAGAGCGGUGGGUAGGGGGGUUUGAUCUGAGCCACCCCAGAUUUCAGGGCCAACGCUGAUCUGGAAGCUCCUGGGGACUUCUGAGACUCUCCAUCCCCUGGCAUUAGAAAAUGUACAGGGAAGCACGCUGGAAACCAGGAAGCUCUAGGCAAGUGUAGAUUACCAUGACCAAGCCUGGGCUGGGAAGAGGAAGAGAGGACAGAGCCAGGCUGGGAGGGAGCCAGAAAACACUCUUGUGGGCUGGGCUCUAGCAAAAAGUGCUGAUUUGGGGAAUCCGUGGAUUAGAGAAGAAUCUCUUUGCCUAUAUCUUGCUGUGUGACCAUGGGUAAAGUCCCAAACUUCUCUGAACCUCAGUUCCCACAGCUAUAAAACCAGGAUAUUGGGCCAGCCUCCUAGAUCUUUGCAGGUAUCAGCUGUCUAUGAAGUGUCACCCACUCGUACCACCUCUGUUCCGUGAGACACGGUCACCUCACCACCUUGGGAGGCGUUGUUGCUUCCAUUUCCAAUGUGAGCAAACGGAGGCUCUGUGAACCGUGUUCCCAAGGUUGCAGAAGGAGAAGGGGCCGGGCCAGAAGCAGAACCAGCUCCAUCUGCCCUCCAGGGCGGUGCUCUGCCGCAGUCCCUGAGAUGGCUGCCCUCCCUCCGUGCAGGCGCUGGCCUGAACAGGCUGGCCCAGGGCCCCCCAAACAUUCCAGAGGGGACAGUCAG
rnacentral:lncRNA from 1 species